AGCAGCCGCGGUAAUUCCAGCUCCAAUAGCGUAUAUUAAAGUUGUUGCAGUUAAAAGCUCGUAGUUGAACUCCAGGCCUGUCCAGAUGGUCCGCCUUAAAUUGGUGUGUACUGUCCUUGGGUGGGUCCUACCUUCUGGCGAAGCGGCAUGGCCUUAGUUGGUUGUGUCGGGGAACCAGGACUUUUACUGUGAAAAAUUAGAGUGUUCAAAGCAGGCAUAUAUGCUCGAAUACAUUAGCAUGAAAUAAUGGUAUAGGACGAUGGUUCUAUUUUGUUGGUUCUAGGACCGUUGUAAUGAUUAAUAGGGAUAGUUGGGGGCAUUAGUAUUCAAUUGUCAGAGGUGAAAUUCUUGGAUUUAUUGAAGACUAACUACUGCGAAAGCAUUUGCCAAGGAUGUUUUCAUUAAUCAAGAACGAAAGUUAGGGGAUCGAAGACGAUCAGAUACCGUCGUAGUCUUAACCAUAAACUAUGCCGACUAGGAAUCGGGCGAUGUUGACAAAAUGACUCGCUC
rnacentral:misc_RNA from 2 species